CACAGCCACAGCAACACGGGAUCUGAGCCGCGUCUGCAACCCACACGGCAACGUGGGAUCCUUAACCCACUGAGCAAGGCCAGGGUUCAAACCUACAACCUCAUGGUUCCCAUACAUUUUCAGCUACAUUACCACUGAACCACAGUGGGAAAUCCUAUCCUGUCUUCUAGAAGGAAUAAAAAUGACGGAAGGGACAUCAUCCACUUAUUGUUCAGGAGGUGACCCAGAAAUCGUAAAUUUCACAUCUCAUAUUCCACUGGUGAGACUUACUUGUCUGGUCACACCCAAUAUUACGGGAGACUGGGAAAUGUAGCAGCAUGCCCAUUGCUCUGUUAAAAUUUAGGGUCAGGGCUCAUAAAAUUAAGACAAAAGGAAGAACUAAUACUGGUAGUUCAUAAUUUCCACUGCACAGGAUUUUAAUAUUUACCUUCUGGUUCUGUAUAUCAUCUUGCAACACUCUUACAGUGUUUUCAAGUUCAAAAUAGUUCAUCUUCAGAACCAUUUUUCAUAUGCUUAAAAAUCAGAGCAAAUUUUUUAUUAAAUAGUGAUAAUUUAUUCAUUUCUUUAUUGCAUACUUGAUGGACUCAAGGCUUACAUAAUGCUCUACAAAUGCAAUAAAGAUGGUUCUUGCCAUCCAGAUACUGAGCUUUAUCAGGGAGAGCACUGGUGAUUACAGCAAAUGCCCCUUGAUGCUAAGCAUGACAGCAGGGCAGUGAGGCAAACACCACUCUCAGCCAGUAACCAGGGAGGGCAUCACUGAAGAGGUCAUCUUGGACCUAGGUUUUGUAGGAUGGCCAUGAUUUUGAUUAGUGUCAGUAUUAUGAGAAGUCAAAGCAAAGCUAUGAAAGCAGAAAAAGAGAAUUUCUAAUCUAACAGGAAGGGAAGAUUCAGGCUGAGGGCAAUGAGGGGAAGGCAGGAAGCCAGAUCUUGCAAAGGCCUUGAAACAGAGCCUGGUAUGAUAUUUCUGAGUUUUGUUUUGAUCUCUUGCUUUUGGGCUGAGGGUGAAGUGAAAUGAAAAGGUCUUUAUCCUCUGAAGGUCUUGAUCAUGGCAGUAUUUGGGAAAAUUCUUUGGAUAGUGUUAGGACAAAUAAAAUGGAGGUGGGGAAGGCAAAGCUUUGCAGAACUUGGAUAAUAAAAACCAGAUGGAUGGACCCAGUGAGAUUCUCAUACUAAGGGAAGUAAGUCAGGCAGAGAAAAACAAAUACUAUAUGAGAUCACUUACGUGUGGAAUAUAAAACAUGACACAAAUCAACAUAUCAACGAAACAUAAGCAGACUCACAGACAUAAAGAACAGACUUGUGGUUGCCAUGGGGGAGGGAUAGAUUGGGAGUUUAGGAUUAAUAUAUACACACUACUAUAUAUAAAAUAUAUAGUCAACAAGGUCCUACUGUAUAGUACAGGGAACAAUAUUCAAUAUCCUAUGAUAAACCAUAAUGGAAAAGAAAACGAAAAAGAAUAUAUAUAUAUGUGUAACCGAAUCAAUCACUUUACUAUACAGUAGAAAUUAACAUAUUAUAAAUGAACUUUAAUUCCACCAAAUUUUUUUCUAAAAGACUUACCUAGGGAUUUCUGUGUCUUGUUAACUCCAUAAAAAAUAUAAUUCUGAACAUUAAUGUGAGCAAGUAGAAUUUUGACAAGAUUGAGAACAAGAAGUGGAGAGAGAAGUAGAUCUGCUGUAACAAAGGACCACUCACUGGGGGUGUGGAUGGGGGCUAACACAACAGUAAUAUGUUGUCUCACAGCCCUGAUGGCUGGAGAUGCAAGAUCAUGGUGUCCACCAGAUCGUCCUUCUGAGGCCAUGAGGAUGGGUGUCCACCCCAGCCCCUGUCCUGGAUUUGCAGGUGGCUGUCUUCUCCAUGGCCCCCUCCCUCCGUAGGUGUCUGAGUCCAAAUCUCCCCUUUGCAUAACGACACAAGUUUUGCUGCCUUAGGGCCCAUCUUAAUGACCUACUUUAAUCUGAUUACUUCUGAAAGGCUAUCUUCAAACGACACCACACUCUGAGGUAGGGGUUAGGACUCCAGGACAUAUUUGGGGGAAGCAGUUAAAACCAUAACAUGUCUUAUGGUCAUUAAUAUUUACAUGGUGUCUCCUUCAUGCAUGGAAUGUCCAGAUUUCUCCCUUCUUUCUUCCCCCCUCUCUCCAUCAUUUCUUUCUUUCCUUUUUUAUUUUUUUAUUUUUAAAUUUUUUUUCCUUUUGGGGAAGCACCUGUGGCACAUGGAGUUUCCCAGGCUAGGGGGUUGAAUUGGAGCUACAGCUGCCGGCCUAUUCCACAGCCACAGCAAUGCCAGACUGCUGAUCCGAGCUACCUCUUCGACCUACACUCACAGCAAUGCCGGAUCCUUAACCCACUUAGCAGGGCCAGGGAUGAAAUCUGCAUCCUCAUCAAUACUAGUCAGGUUUGUUAUCCCUGAGCCAUGACAGGAACUCUAUUCUUUUUAAAAAAAAAUUUCAUUAAAGUAUAGUUGAUUUACAAUAUUGUGCCAAUUUCUGCUGUACAGCAUAGUGACCCAGUCAUAUAUAUAUAUAUAUAUAUGUACAUUCUUUGUCUCAUACUAUCUUCCAUCGUGUUCUAUCCUGAGACAGUGGAUAGAGUUCCCUGUGCUGUACAGUAGGACCUCAUUGCUUAUCCAUUCUAAAUGUAACGGUUUGCAUCUACCAACCCAAAUUUCCCAUCCAUCCCUCUGCUCCCUUGGCAACCGUAAGUCUGUUCUUUGUGUGAGUCUGUUUCUAUUUUGUAGAUGGGUUCAUUUGUGCCACAUUUUAUUUUAUUUUAUUUUGUUUUUGUGUGUGUUUUUAGGGCUACACCUGUAGCACACAGAGGUUCCCAGGCUAGGGGUUGAAUCAGAGCUGCAGCCGCCGGCCUACGCCACAGCCACAGCAACUCAGGAUCCGAGCCAUGUCUGCGACCUACACCACAGCUCACGGCAACGCCAGAUCCUUAACCCACUGAGCAAGGCAGGGGAUUGAACCUGCAACCUCAUGGUUACUACUCGGGUUCGUUAACCACUGAGCCACGAUGGGAACUCCUGUGCCAUAUUUUAGAUUCCACAUAUAUGUGAUAUCAUAUGGUAUUUGUCUCUCUCAAACUUACUUCACUUAGUGUGAGAAUUUCUAGAUGCGUCCAUGUUACUGGCAAAUGCCAUUAUUUCAUUCUUUUCAUAUUUCUUCUUUUCAUCAGGGCACUAGUACUCCUGGAUUAGGGGCCUAACCUUCCCCAGUAAUGACCUCAUCUAAACUAGUUACAUCUGCAAGGAUCCUGUUUCCCAAUUAAGUCACAUUCUGAAUUGUUACAGUCUAGGACUUGCACACUUACACCUCGAGCUUGGUCACCAGCCUUUAUGCCUUUGCUUGCAUUAACACAUCUCUAGUGACACCACAGUCUUUGACCACUUUAAUCAUCAAAUUCAGCUUAAAAACAGAGUGAGUUAUUUCCCUCCUGCUCCCCACCUCAAUGCUGUUAAAUUAACCAUUUAUCCUUCCUGCUAUUUUCCAUGCUGUCUUCUUUCCUCCUUUUGUUCUAAGUGGGACUUACUAUGCAAACUGUCUUAACACUCCCUUUUUUUACCUAACAUGUCUACAUUUCUACACACGGAUUUGAAUCAGUUUUUAAAAUAGCAGCAGGAGCUCCCUGAUGGCUCAGUUGAUUAAGGAUCUGGCAUUGUCAUUGCUGUGACAAGGGUUUGAUGCCUUGCCUGGGAACUUCCGCACAACCUGGCCAAAAAAAAUUAAAACGGCAGCAAAAUAACGGCCUUUGUACCAAACUAGCAGAUGUGGCCACCAGGUGGCAUUAGCGCACAAGCAGUGUCAUUGGGAGGGCCCACACAGACUGCAGGGGUGGAAAGGCAGCCCUGACACCUCCACCUUCCAAAGGCAGGGAGAGAGAGAGUCUGGGGGGGAGACCCCGGGGGCAGAGAAUGAUGAAGAGCUGCGGUGGCUUAGGGGCUUUUACAGUGCAGGGUCGGUCUUCCCCGUGGCUAGCAGGUUUUGGGUGAGGUUUCCCUGGGCAGGAAAGCAGGGGGACUCAGCUGGCUAAACAUCUGAUCUUUGGAGCUGAAUUUCAAACAACUGGAUUUGGGAGCCAAUCAGGUUUUUGAGUUAUUGGGUCCUGCCUGCUGUGAGGAAGAAAAGAAGAUGCAAUUUUGUAGGGGCCACCUUUAGUUCAUCUGUGUAACAACUAGCUCCCUAUUGAAACACAUUUUAUUAGUUUCUCCCCAGCAAAAAAUUGUCACAGACAGGUCAGAAGAAAAAUGACUAACCAAUUUACAUCCUAUAUGACAAAAGGCUACUUUUAUUAAUGUAAUCAGGAUUCUUGGCAAGUAGGAUAAAAUGGUAAAGUAGCUCAAGGUCAUCCAAUCAACCCUGAGAAGUGACAGACACUGGAAGGAACUGGCUGUUAUAAGUGAGAUGACAACUGUGCCCUGGGGGGAAAGAUGGGAGCUGGUGAGGGACAUGGGAGGCCGUGGCCUGGGAGGGUCUGGAGAAGCUGUAACUCAGCUCUUGCCUCCCUUACCUCACUUAGGAAUGGGGAGACCCCUGGCCUCCCAGGAGUGUGAGGCACUGGCAAAGGAGACAGAAGCCAGCUAAGUAAGGAAACGAUGAAGACAGGUGCAGGGUGACAGGUGCCUCCUGAUCCCCUGUCAGCACAGGUCCUCUGGGCCCUGAUGCCUCUCCUUGAGGUUUGACCCUCCUUGUUCUCCAACUGUCCAAAGAGGACACAGUUGAGGAUGUGACUUUCAGAACUUCCUCAGUACACAGUGCAGGGCAAGAGAACUGACUCCCCAGUGAAAUGUGAUCCUGAGGUUCCAGGAAAAUACUCCUCAAAGAGAAAGUUAAAAUGAAUUAAAGCAGGAGUGUGGUGCAGUGGACUAAUGACCUGGUGUUGCCACAGCUGUGGCUCACAUUCAAUCCUUGGCCUGAGAACUGCCAUAUGCCACUGAUGCAACUGAAAAAGAUAAAAUAAAAUAGAAUAGAAUAAAAUAAAUAAAUGUGAACAGCACAUGCCACCCUAAGUAGAUUUAUUGAAAUGGAUGAGCCAAUAUAUUUUAAAUGAGUAUAACAUGUAUUCAAAAGAGUUGAAGAAGAAAAAGGUAACAAAAUGACAAGAAAUUAUUUUAGAAAACAAGUGAUACAUGAUAUGCUAAAAGGUUGGGAGAAUAGAAUUAUCAAAAUCCAGAUAAGAGAAAUCCCCAUGGGGAACUGAGGGGCCAUAGGGUACCAGGACACUUAAGAAAAUACUAAUACUUAGACACACUACAGUAAAACUGCAGAAAAGCAAAGAAAAACUAUGAAAAGAUUCCACACAAAAAAGUAAACCAUCCCAAAGGAACAAAAAUUAGACCAACAUGAGACUCCUCAACAGUAAUACUGGAUUCAAGAACAAUGGUGUAAUAAAUUUGUGCUUAAAAUUUUUUUUGCAUACUUCUUGCUAAGAAGUAUAGCCUACAAGCACAAAGGUGGAUAAAUCACAAUGUCACGCACUAAGAAAAAUUACAGAAUUUUUAAAGAAAUUACAGAAAUUAAGUAACCACCAGCCAGGUUAAGAAUACUGCUGGCCCGGAAGAAUCAUGCGUGUCUGACACAGUUCCUACUGUCAGAAAAGGCUUCCCCGGCCCUCCGGCGGGUUUUCCAGACUUUGGUGCAGCUAGAAACCCACCUUCGACUGAGCGCUCAGGCCUCGCCACAUCCUAGCUGCGGCCGAGCGACCCAGGGGCUGCGGCCUCACCCGGUCUCCGCGGCCUCGCCCCGGCGCACAGCGGGCAGCCUCUC
rnacentral:lncRNA from 1 species